AUGUCACAUCGAGCCGUGACUUUUAGACGUAGAAUUAUUGCAACUUUGAAUUUCUCUUUUACUACAUUUAUGUGCCUUGAAGAGUUCUGUGCUAGUGCUAGUGAUCUGGCUGGCAUCGGGUUCGGGUCAAAGGAGGCGUCGUUGUCAAGCAUCCAGCCGAGAAGCGGCACAAGGAAGGAGGAGUUGGACUGUCCAGUUGACCGCCCGGGACAGCGGGUGGUGGUGCGCCGGCGGCGGAUGGCCGGCCGGCCGGCAGUGCAACCCAUCAUCGGUGCACCUUUGCUUUUCCCCAAAGCGGCUCCGCCCUUGGCCUUGGUGGUGCGUGCAUCACAGGUCAGUACGUAUGGGCACAUGCCUCCCCUCCCGACUUUACGAGGAGAAAACAAUGUAAAGCAAGCAAAGUAG
rnacentral:rRNA from 1 species